CGUUUCCCGGAUCGUCUCCCCCGCGCGCUGGCCGCAGUGGUGCGGUCCAAGGCGGAAGCAGCGCCGGCGCGGAACACGGUCUGCGGCAGCAAUGGCUGCGGGUGUCCCCUGCGCUCUGGUCACCAGCUGCUCCGCCACCUUCACCGGGGACCGGCUGGUGCAACAUAUCCUAGGAACAGAGGAUGCUGUUGUGGAAGCAGCUUCCAGCGAGGCCGUGAGGUUCUACCCCUGGACCAUCGACAACAAGUACUAUUCAGCAGAGGUCAAUCUGUGUGUGGUGCCAAGCAAGUUCCUGGUCACUGCUGAGAUCGCGGAGUCAGUCCAGGCGUUCGUGGUUUACUUUGACAGCACACAGAAAUCGGGUCUUGACAGUGUCUCCUCAUGGCUUCCCCUGGCAGAGGCAUGGUUACCCGAGGUGAUGAUCCUGGUCUGUGAUAGAGUCUGUGAAGACGGAGUAAACCGGCAGAAGGCUCAAGAGUGGUGCAUCAAACAUGGCUUUGAGCUGGUAGAGCUCAGCCCCGAGGAGCUGCCUGAGGAGGAUGAUGACUUCCCUGAAUCCACAGGUGUAAAGCGGAUUGUACAAGCGUUGAAUGCCAAUGUCUGGUCCAAUGUUGUGAUGAAGAAUGUGCACAUACUGUUCAUGGGGAGGAGAGCAAGAAAAACGUCAUCUCACUUUCCCUCUGUGUCACUGACCGAGCAGAGGAGCAUGUUCCUGGAUCUAGCACAAGUGGAGCCACGUGCAGUGCUGAGUCUAAGUGAGCCUAAGAGCCAAGGCUUCAGCCUCCUCAACUCGCUGGCUGGAGCAAACCGCAGCAUUGGAUCAGCAGAGAGCUGUCACUCAGAGCAGCAGGCCCGGUUGCCAGCAGCUGAGAGGAUAGAGUCCCUUCAGGGCCAUCGUGGUGGUGCAUGUGGCUCAGCAGGUGCACAGGUUGACAGCAUUGUGGGUGGCCAAAGCCUUCUGGAUGGCCAUAGGAGGAGACCGAGACGAGAUCGAAGGCCUUUCUUCCGACGAAGAGCACUAAAUCCUUCCUGCUGGGUUUGCCUGGCACUGAUGCCAGCACUGUGCACUCCAAGUGCUUCCCUGCUCAACCCGGUCCUGCUCUGCCAAGAUCGCCGUCAUCAUGCUGGCCGCUUGGCUGUGUGGGGUUCCCGUAGAGUCUGCCUGUGUGUGAUGUCUGCUCCUGCUUCUGAGACCUCAGCUGAUCGUCAGGGAUAUUGGCUGAGGGUCAGAGUUGCUGCUGAGCUGAUGCUGUGCUAACAGGUGCUACCUUCUGAUACACCCCGUGCAUGUAACUUAGAUCUCCAGAGUGCGCUGGGGGUAUACAGUGCCUGUGGAGGCCAGAAGGGUGCAAUGGACCAUCUGGGACUGGACUUACAGAUGGCUGUGAGCUGCCACGUGGGUGCUAGGAACAGAAGCCAGGUCCUCUGGAAGGGGAGCCAGUGCUCUUGGAAUGGUCUCCGAACAAUGACCAUUGAGAGAACAUGAGGUAUGCCUCUUGUCCUGCUGUGGCAUGCUGUAGCAAGCAGAAGGAUCAUGGUGGAAGGGUAAGAUGUGGGCUCUGAGGACUAUUUUGAGCAUGGGUGUUGGCUACUGCAAACUAAAUUUAACGUAUCUAGAAAGGUCAGGGGUUCUGGCUCAUUAGUGCUCUGCUUGAAGGAGAGCUUAAGCAAGUGUUCUGAUGACCCAGAUUUGCUCGUCACACGCCCAUCUACUAGUAUUAGAUCAUUAUCAAAUAGUACCAGAGUCCAAAGGGGAGAGAAAAUGCGAAUGCCUUCAACAGUAUGCUGAACCGGGGAUGGGCCUGAGGGCUGCUCAGUCUCUGCGCAGCUCGGCUGGUGUCUGCUCAGUGACCCACCCCACCCCUCUGGAACACACACUGAGUCUUGUGUUUCCUGCAUCUGCUCUGUGUUUUUACUAGGAGUGAAGCAGGUUCCAGUGUCGAGAAGUAUCUUGCUUGGUUCUGGAUGGAUUGUUCCUCUGAUGGUGGGAUGAACAGUUAACAAAAGAACCAGUGACAGUCAUGGGCACCUUUCUUUAGAAUGUUAGGGAGCCCCAUUCCUGUCUCCAACUGACUGAAUGGUUCUACACCCCCCACCCCCGCCUUUUUAAGAAAAGAACAGAUUCAAAACCUGGCCUUAAAAUUAUUACUGUAUCUUUGGAACACAAGCUUGCUUGUGUUUUGUGAUGGUGGUGGUCUGAAAACCUUUGUGUGGGAUUACCUUUUCUUGUGUGUUCAUGUGGGUGCUGCUUUGUGUAUGUGUAUGUCAGAGGACAGCUUGAAGGAGUUUGCUUUUUCCUUCCACCAUCUGGGUUCUUGAGAUGUGGACUUGUCAGGCUUAACAGCAAACACCCUGACCUACUGAGCCAUCCUGCCAGCCCUUUUUUUUGUUUGUUUCUGAGAUGGAGUUCCGCCACGUGGCUCAGACUGGCCUUGCACUCUCAAUUGCCUGAGAGCUGGGGUGACAAGUGUGCAGACCCACGCGUGCACUAUCGGUGGCUCACAUACCCCUUCCCUUGCCACCAAGAGCCUGAGCAGCAGAGAAGGUCAGCUUGCUAAGCAGAAUCCUCCCUGCUGAGCUUGUGAAAGUGGCGGCCAUCAUGGCUUUUGUGCUUCUGUUACCAGCCAGGUGGCUUUCCCGCCACAGAGCUGUGGGCUCGUUAAUGCUCAGGUGCUGUGCUUUAUGAAGGUAAAUGUUGGUGGGACGAGACAUUGAUUCAGCCUCAAGUUCAAGGACGUGGACUGUAUCAAUGGCUCAUCCCUGGAAAUCUGCAGGCAUUGAUCAUUAGCACAGUUUGGUGGCCUCAAACUUGUCUUUCUGCCCUGCUGAGGCCGAAACAAAGACUCGGGAACCAGCCACCAUGGGCUGUGGCUGCUGGUGCCAGAACCAGAAUGAGCAAGGACGAGGAGGAGUCGGGUCUUAAGAAUGAAGUUUCUUUUCUCCUGGUGCCCAGAGGCAAGCAAGACGAGGUCACAGAUGACAGAAGGCCAAGCAGAAUGGGAAGAGGGUUGGUUGCAGGCAGCCUACACUGCAGUCGUUUCCAAACGCGAGCCCAUUCAGAACCACCUGAGAGGUUCCACCCUGUUCCUGGUGAAGCUGGUGUGUGGUGGGACCUGAAAAGCCUCAUUUUUAGCAUCUUAGGUGAUACUGACACUCCUGGAGCAUGCUUUGAGAAUCAGGUAAGUAAUGCUGGACUCCAGCUAAAAGGAAUAACGAAUUUGGGCACAGAGGUAAGUAAGAACAUAAAGAUUCUUCCGGUAAGUCAUGGCAUGAAUAGAGGUAUAGAAAUGAGAGCCCAAACAAGCAUGCUGGCAAGUCCCAGGGCAGUCCCAUCAGAAAAAUGCUGGUGGCAGAGAAGAGUCCGCCUGUACUAGAAGGACUGAGGGGCCACAGGCUGCAGGCAGAAAGGGCCUCCACCAUGGGUGUACUCCAAGAAGGCUGGCAGCGACCUUGUGCACAGUUACCUAAUCGGCUGCGUGGAGGGGGAGUCUGGCUGAGCGGAUUCAGACUGUGACUAAGGGUUGCUGCUGUAGACAGAUACGGGAUAGUAGCCCUUGUGUCACGUGUGCCCCUGAAUUAAAGGGACACAAAUUAGAGUUGUGGGACAGCUGUAAUAGCCAGUGACCCGGAACUGGAUUUUGGGUUACACAAAAGACUCACACUGAAGUAGCACAGUGGAAAGAUGCAGAAGGCACAGCACUGAGGCAAAACCCAGAGCCCCUGGGUACACAUACCCAGCCACAGGAAGGAUACUGCAUAGCCCUGCUCGCAGGGGACUUAGCACUUGCAAGGGGUGACAGGCACAGGUAACACACUGCCAAGGAGCCUGGUGACAGAGAUCCUGAAAGGCUUCCUGGAGGAGAGCUGAGCUGAGCUGCAAGGCACAGGCACAGCGGGCUGGCCUGUGUGGGUCGGAGGAGCUGCAGUCAAAGGCAGACGGUAUGGGAAGGCGGAGCAGCACAGGCAGGCGUGGAGACAGGGUGACACCGGAGGCCCCACCACUGCUGCACUGGAGAUAGAGCAAGGAGUGGAGAGCUGGGCAGGAACAAAGGUCAAGUAUCAUAGAAUGACCUUAGAAUUUGCCGUGGGCAAUGUUGGUUUGGGUUUGAAAUGCCACCCUUAAAGAGCCACGUGUUAAAGGCUGUCUGGCUCGUGGCACUGUUGGGAACUGGGGGGAUAUUUGAGGUAGGCCUGACCGCAGUCAUCGAGGCCAUGCCCUUGCCCGCUCUCUCUUUGCCGCCUUCCAUUACAGGCCCACAACAGCAGGGACAAAUGACUGUGGGCUGAAAGGUCUGAGACCAUGAGCCAAAAUGGUGUCACUACUAAGAUUAUCCUCUCAGGCAUUUCAUUACAGGACAGUUCUAACAUAGGUUGUGUGGAUUGUUAGAGCAGACUGGAAACCGCAACAAUCAGGGUGCUGGGGCGGGGUCCAGAUCUAGGAGAAGCUGGCAUGCAGGGCGGUGGGAGCAGGGGCUGAGCAGGGACUGGGAAGACUCGAGAGCAGAUAGAUGGAGGUGGGGAGCCCAAAACAAUAACUUUGGCCAUACAGUUUACAGGGUGAUGGUCUGCAAUGAUCAUAUUGUAAAUCUGUCUUCUGAUUUGUGAGCAUGAACAAUUGAUGGACCAGAAGACCUCUGUCCCCAAGUUGGAAGCUCAGGGCUGAUACAGGAGACACUAGCAUUUAUGUGGCUGGAAACCGAGGCUUGGUGAACUCAUGGAAGACUGUCAAAAGCACACACAUAGUCUGGGAACACCCGAGAACAAAGGAGAGCAAGCUCAGGAAAAAGGCCGAUCCAAGGAGAACUAGGAAGGCUCAGGGGGCAGGGCCUGUUCAACUGUAGCCUCAGCAAGGAGGUGAGGGAUGGGGCAAAGAAACACAAGGAGCUGCUGAGGAGCUGAAGGAUGGGGAAGGUAUUUUGGUACAUCUCCUGAAACUUCAGUCGGGACAGAAGCUGACGUCUCAUUCUUGUUUUGAAUUUAGGAUUCAGAGUGACAGCUCGGGAGUUACAGGGUUCCUUGUAAUUUUGUUUUUGUUUUUUUGUUUUUCGAGACAGGGUUUCUCUGUAGCUUUGGAGCCUGUCCCGGAACUAGCUCUUGUAGAUCUGCCUGCCUCCUGAGAGUCUUGUAAUUCUUGUGUGUCUCUGUGAGGAUAUAGUGGCAUGGGGGACACAGUGACACUAUGGCAGAGGACAGCCUGGGGAGGCCCAGAAGCAGUAGCAGGGCUGGAGGCUGGGGUAGUAGCCUGCAGUCACUUGCCAAAUGCCUGGGUGUGUAUCUGUGGAACCCGUGUCAUAUCUGAGGGACCCCUGCUGGUCCUGUGUGGUCCCUUGGUGAGGAAGCGAGGGCAGGUAUUCCUGGAAGACCAUGGCAGUGGGGCCAGGCACAGUGUUAUAGUAUUUGCAUUUGCUGAGUUCUGACGCCCCCAGGACCUCACCGGGCUCCCUUUUAAGUCCGUCUAUCCAGAGACAGCUGCAGGAAUAAGACUGCUCCCCUGCCCCAGGAGCUUUACAGUGAGAAGUUUAUUAGAAGGGCGCUUAUAAGAAGAGGGGACACAGCUCCUUAACAUUGGGGUACAAUGCUGUAAGAUACAAAAGUUAGAAAAAUCUAAAACACUAUAAAUACAUGCUUUUUACAAAGAUACUAAAGGCCUGGAUGGCUGAAUAGUGACAGCGACCUCAGCCUCCAGGCAUCCCCACACGAGAGUCCACACCAGCCCACCCGCCCUGGCAACAGCAAAGGCUUCUGGGAUAAAGAUGGCUCUGAUUUCUAUGUGAAGUUUUCAGCGCAGAGGACAUGCUCACUCUCGAGGGCCUGGGCUUGACUAGAGCGGCCUGUUCGCGCAUGCCACCACUUGUUGACUGUCUGGUCUGACUUUUGUGGAUCAGGAGCCAAAAAAGCCACUGCAGCCUUCAUCCGUGUUCAGGGCUGGCUGUGUUCCAGCUCUGCCCAUUGCUGUCCUGGGGGAGAAACCUUCACAACAGUCUUUAAGAAAUUAAAUACCUAUCCAUCUGAAUGGCUUUAAGGACUUGUUACAUAAAUAUGCAUACAGCAGAAUGCUAAACAUCACUUUUGUCUUAACACGAGCCAGCUGCAGGGGCUGUUUCGAAGGUGAUAGCCAUGCAUCAACAUGUUCCUCUCCGUCCAGUACCCCUAUCAGCAAUGCACAUACAUCUUCAUGUUUGAUCCGCAUCCUGGUGUGUGGCUUCCUGCCCACUUGGGAAGUUGCUGAACACUGUAACGACCACUACUUAAAGAGGCCAAGUGAUUGGAACACUGACCACUCAUGGGAAAUACAAGUGCACUCCAACCAGGCUCCAGCUAAUGUAAAGGCACAAACAUCUAGCCACUUCGUCACACAGUGAGAGAUACAGUGCAGCGCUGUGACUGUGGCCCUCCUGGUGCAGGUGCCUUUCCAGCCUCUCAGGGACUUAGAAAAAAUUCAGAAAUGGCAGCUUGGGGCUAAGAAUGAAGUCAGAUAUUUGCCUCUGCCCCAGACAACUCAGGCACAUGCGUGACCACACACGCUACUUAAAACCUUUCUGUGGUCAGAGUGAAGACAUCAAGCCCUGAAAAAUAUAUCCCAUCUCUGAGAAGCAAAUGGGAGAAGAGCAAGACCACAGCACCCUGAAGCACUGCGGCUCAUUUCAAUACAUUAACGGGUAGGCAAAGAAUCACUGACAAUAAAAAUAAAUACAGCACACUCUCAGGACAGCGGAGAAGUCUGCCAGCAGCCUUGCCCUCCCUAUGUUCUUCCUAAGAGAGUCCCUGCUGUGCACUCCAGGCUUUUCUCGAGAUGCCAGGUCUUCCACAGGCCUCCUGGCAGGCGGCCAGCUGCACUGACAUGCCGACACAGGCCUGUAAUCCGCACGGCUGGGCUACCUGCACACGCACCGAGUGAAGUUGGAGGAGCAGGAUACAAAGUUAGCUCCCUGGGCUGCUGAAGAGGAGGAUCUCUGCCCAGCGCCAGCCAUGGGGUCAGUGUCAGCAGAAACCCGAGGCUGGCACAGCACAUGCGGUUAGGGCAACUGAAGGAACCACACUUCAAAGGCCACAGCAGCCAGCUGUCCUUUAGAAGUGCUGUCCGUACAAGACAAGAUGGAAAGCUAACUUGGGAGGACACUUAGAUUACUCGUACCCGAAGGACCUGUGUUCUCCACGAUGGAGCGGCAUAUUCUAGAUUCCAAAGCCUUUUAUUUCCAGGAUGCAGAGAGGACUUGCCUAGAAUUUCCUUCUACAUCCUCUAGCGACUGGCCAAUAAAGCGAGGGGACCAAGGAAGUAACCUUUGGCAAGAAGAGGAAAAAAAAAAAAGAUACUCUCAACUUUGUGCCUCCCAGGAGCAGCAGUCAGAG